rnacentral:rRNA from 1 species
GACGAACGCUGGCGGCGUGCUUAACACAUGCAAGUCGAACGAAGUGGCGAACGGGUGAGUAACGCGUAAUCAACCUGCCCUUCAGAGGGGGACAACAGUUGGAAACGACUGCUAAUACCGCAUACAUAAGGAGGGGAUUGAGUCUGAUUAGCUAGGUGGGGGGGUAACGGCCCACCAAGGGGAUGAUCAGGAGCCGUUCUGAGAGGAUGAACGGCAAAAUUGGGACUGAGACACGGCCCAGACUCCGACGGGAGGCAGCAGUGGGGAAUCGUCCGCAAUGGACGAAAGUCUGACGGAGCAACGCCGCGUGAGUGAUGACGGCCUUCGGGUUGUAAAGCGCUGUUAAUCGGGACGCGGUACCGGAAUAGAAAGCCACGGCUAACUACGUGCCAGCAGCCGCGGUAAUUC